rnacentral:rRNA from 1 species
GACGAACCGUGCGAACGUUGUUCGGAAUCACUGGGCUUAAAGGGCGCGUAGGCGGGCUGCCAAGUCUGGGGUGAAAUCCCACGGCUCAACCGUGGAACUGCCUCGGAUACUGGCGGCCUCAAGGGAGGUAGGGCGUGCGGAACUGUGGGUGGAGCGGUGAAAUGCGUUGAUAUCCACAGGAACUCCGGUGGCGAAAGCGGCGCGCUGGACCUCUUCUGACGCUGAGGCGCGAAAGCUAGGGGAGCAAACGGG